GACGAACGCUGGCGGCGUGCUUAACACAUGCAAGUCGAACGGAAAGGCCCUGCUUUUGUGGGGUGCUCGAGUGGCGAACGGGUGAGUAACACGUGAGUAACCUGCCCUUGACUUUGGGAUAACUUCAGGAAACUGGGGCUAAUACCGGAUAGGAGCUCCUGCUGCAUGGUGGGGGUUGGAAAGUUUCGGCGGUUGGGGAUGGACUCGCGGCUUAUCAGCUUGUUGGUGGGGUAGUGGCUUACCAAGGCUUUGACGGGUAGCCGGCCUGAGAGGGUGACCGGCCACAUUGGGACUGAGAUACGGCCCAGACUCCUACGGGAGGCAGCAGUGGGGAAUAUUGCACCAUGGGCGGAAGCCUGAUGCCGCAACGCCGCGUGCGGGAUGACGGCCUUCGGGUUGUAAACCGCUUUCGCCUGUGACGAAGCGUGAGUGACGGUAAUGGGUAAAGAAGCACCGGCUAACUACGUG
rnacentral:rRNA from 1 species